UGGAAGAUGGCUCAGUGGUAGAGUGCUUGCCUUGCAUGCAAGAACCACUGGGUUCGAUUCCUCAGCACUACAA
rnacentral:tRNA from 1 species